GCCCCCUCAGUGUCACAUUUGAAGUGGUCUGCUUUGAGGCUUCUCCUUGAGGGUAGUAACACCCCCUUUAGUAUGCCAGUAAAAGCCCACUGUUAGUUCCUUUGUUCUAAAGCUUCUAAUACUUGAAUUUCCAAAACUGCUCCCUCCUUUGGAGCCAGACUCUGAUUAAGGGCAGCCAAGCUUGUGGUCUAGAAUCCUAGCCAGAAAAAGAUAUAAUUUCUACAUUAUGGAGAAUUCUUCAUGAUAUGGAUUCCAAAGGCCUGAUUUGAUUUACUAAAGAAAUUUUCAAAAUUAUAUCUCUUCUUAAAAAGCUGGCUUUCUUGAUAUGUUCUCAAAUAAAAAUGCUGAAGAGAAUCAUGAGACCCAUGACAACUCAGACUCUUGACCCACCAUGCUGCAUAAUGGAGAGCG